rnacentral:lncRNA from 1 species
GGUGGAUUAUGUAUGGAGGUUAUGAGUAGGUCAACAUGGAAUCGAUCACUCCAAUUAAAAAAGAGAUCGCAUCCUACUUGUUCCGAUCGAGAGAUGAUACAAAAAGACUUUGAUCAAAGCAGAAUGAAAAUUAAUUUUUUUUUUAAUAUUUCAUUAAUUGAAUCAUCAUCUUAUGAUCGAGAAAAAUAUGAAUAUAAAAUUGGAUUUGACUUGGUUCCAUAUCCAUAAUCAUAUUCGAGAUGCUGGAUGAUCGAAGGAUUGAAUUACAUGAUAACUUGCCACUG